rnacentral:lncRNA from 1 species
GAGCCUGACCGGGAAGGAAGAUGGCCGCAUAGCGCGCAAACUCCCGCCAUCGGGCGGCAACAACAGCUACUAAAUAAACAACAACCUGCACACAGACCCCCUAACAUAUCGGCACACCCGCCAGGACACCCGCGCCAACCUACUGGCAAGGGUGGAAAUCGUAAAAAGCGCGAUCAAACACCCUCGGUGGCCUCAUUGUUCCGGCCCCAGCGCCGUCCAGCGCCAUUUUCCCCACAGCAGGCAGAUGAUUCAGACUCAGAUCAGAGUGAGGCAACAGCCUCAGCAGCAGCCCCACUGACAAAGCGAGACCUGCAACUUUUACUAAGGGAAGCAGUCACAGAUAUAAAGAGACACAUGGCAGCAGAGCUGGAGAAGCAAUUACACUGCAUGAAGGCAGAAAUAGCAGACCUGGGAGAAAGAACAGGUCAGGUGGAGCAGAGAGCAGAUGAACUCCUGGAUACCUUACAGGCACAGGAGGCAGACAUCACCACACUGAGAACCAGAGUGGAUAUACUGGAAACAGGUAUGGAAGACCUAAACAACCGCUCGUGGUGUAAUAACAUAAGGAUAAGAGGCCUCCCUGAGACUGUAACGCCAGACAUAUUGCCCUCUACGUUGCGUGAACUCUUCAUGUCUCUCCUCUCUGACGCAACACCACAAGACCUGACUAUAGACCGGGCACACAGGGCACUGAAGCCCCCCAGCCAAAACUAGUCAGCACCCAGAGAUGUAAUAGUGCGCCUACACUACUUCACUGCUAAGGAGGCCAUCAUGGCUGCCACGCGGAGAAUACCACCAAAAUUUGACGCCACAAUGACAUCUGCAAUUUUACCAGGACGUGUCACCCAUCACCCUUGCCAAGCGCAGAGAACUCAAACCACUCACCAAUGCCCUGGCACAAGCAAACAUUGCAUACCGCUGGGUGCACCCAUUUAAACUCCUAGUCCGCCAGCAAGACACCACCCACGUCCUCCAAGACAUAUCCAGGAUGGCAUUCUUCGCGGCAACACUGGACAUCCGAAUUCCUGAGGCACUGGCCAGAUCUACGAACCCAAUGACCAGCACCAGAACUCCACGGACACCGCUCUGGGAAAAACCACAACAACACCAGAACCAGCCAUCCAAAUGACAACCCAUCCGGCAAGCCCAAGACCAUGGACCAUGAACACACCAAAGCCGGUACUCUUUGGGCACAACGGAGUUCCUGCAGGGACCAAGCCCUGCGGCGGAGUGGCUACAAAGCCACCAACCACCCUGACAAAAGAACUCACUAACAUAUCCUUUUACUAUAAAUGCAGCUACACAUUUAUUAACCAAGCUUAGGGAACCGACUAGAUCUGAAUAACGGGACUUUACUACCUAACCUAGGGGAAGGGAUCUGGGUGGAGGGGACAGGAUGUAGCAUAGAACAGCUGGAGGAAGGAGAACGCAGGGGAGGGUGGCACGUUUGGGUGCAGGGGAGGCGGGCGGGAUGGAGGUGUGUGAAAAUGUAUUUAUUAUGGGAGACGAAUGCACACUCCAACACCGACCCACGUAGGACCUCAAACCCACCACACACUAUCGGGGCCCAGAACAGAAACUGGGGACCCAUGCCAACCACCCCGACCUAUCAGCAGCCCCCGACACCCAAUGGUGAGGCCCGGGACAGAUCCACCACACCCCUAGCGUGCAGACCCUAACCUAAACCUGCCCAUAGUGGGACGCACCAUGGGGACCCCCACACGAUGCCCCAUAAUACACAGGACACAAGGCGCAAAUGUCACCCGAGUUGGGAUGAACCCGCGCACCCCACACCACCAUGCCUGGCAAGAACAUUAAGACCAGGCAGUUAUUAUUAUUGUUGUUGUUAUUAUUACCGUUAUUGGUUACAUGUUUUAUGUUGGUCACACUUGGUCUCACUAAGGGGAAACAAGCCAGGCUCCCUAACAGGACCCCCAAAAGCCAUAGGGGACAGUUGGGCGGGCAGAUCCAAAACCCAGACGCAACACAACCAAUCACACCACCUAGCCUAACAUGCAUCUCCAUAAACUGUAAAGGGCUAAAUAACCCCACAAAGCGACACAGACUUAUGCGAUGGGCCAACUGCACCACAGCAGACAUUAUCCUCUUACAGGAAACACACUACUCAGCAAAGUGCCCCUUCCCCCUCCUGAGCCGCCACUUCAAGGCCUGCCACUUAGCUUACUCAGACACGGGUAAACACAAUGGAGUGGCGAUCCUUUUGCAGAAAUCUUGCCCCCUACAGGUCACUUCCACCAACAAAGACCACCACAGACGCUACCUAACUAUAAUGGCACAAUAGGACCAUCCAAAUACGCUAUCACAACCAUAUAUGCCCCGACAAUAUCGGAACCCGAAUUCUGUCCCACCUUGCAAACCCACCACAGCCUCCACCCAAGUCACCAUAAACUCAUAGGAGGCGACUUCAACGCCACCAUCACGCCAACAAUAGACUGACCACCGCACUCAAACACACAAACCCAUCCAUCCAGAUCGGACAAACUCAUGGCAGACUUCAUCUCCAAAACCCAAUUAAUCUUCAUCUCCAAAACCCAAUUCAUCUCCAAAACCCAAUUAACCCAACUACACAAGACUACACAUUCUACUCCAACCCACACAACAGCUAUUCCCGCAUAGAUUAUUUCUCCCCAUCUCUCCUCCCAAUCACGACAGCAAUCUCAAUCGGAGACAUAACUUGGUCCGAUCACGCAGAAAUCUCCAUAACAUUCCAACCACCACACAUAUCCAGACCUUGGUCUUGGAGACUCAACCCACUCCUACUGCACGAUCCACAAACUGUACAACAAGUUAAGUCUGAACUCAGAAACUACUUCACCACGAACAAGGACUCAGUCCAGUCACAAGCGGUCCUGUGGGCAGCCCAUAAAACAGUACUCAGAGGUGCUCUCAUCAGCAUAGCUACUGCACACAAGAAGAAAACGUUCUUAAUGAAAUUAAAACUCUAGAAGCCAAACAGAAACACCUACCCCCGACCUCACCACACAAAUCCAACAGAAAAGGCAAACCCUGAAGACCGCAAUGACAACAGAUGCUACUAGAGCCCUCCAAUGGACACGUCAAAUGUUCUAUGAAAAAUCCAAUAAAGCUGACACCCUCCUCGUAUGCAGAUUACGUAAGCGUACCCAGGCCAAACAGACACGUCACAGACAUACCGGCAAAAAUUGCAGAGACGUUCCAAAAAUAUUUCUCUAACCUCCAUGACCACUCCCCACAACACAGACAAAGCACCUACAAUCUGGCGGAUCAUAUCCACACCUUCCUAGAACGAAUUAAACUACCCACCUUGCAGGGCGACGCACUCACACAACUCUCCACGGAAAUCUCAGAAUGGGAAGUGGCAACCUCGAUUGGAACCACCAAACCCAACAAAAGCCCAGGACCAGACGGAUACUCGGGCGUUUACUACAAAAUAUCUGCCUCCUACCCAAGCCCAAAAAACCCCUAUCAGACCCAGACCAUAACAGACCCAUAUCCUUGUUGAACGUGGACGUGAAGAUAUUUACAAAAUUACUCUCCAACCGGCUCUUGCCAUUCCUCACCAAACUGGUCCACCCAGACCAGGUGGGCUUCAUUCCCACCCGACAAGCCAGCGACAACACCAGGAGAAUGCUCGACCUGGUCUGGGUGGCCAAUCGACGCUCUACCCCGACCCUUCUCUUAUCCCUGGACGCUGAGAAGGCUUUUGACAGACUUCUCUGGCCAUUCCUCUGCGCCACAUUGGAGAAAUUUGGCUUCCCUAAACUUCCCCAAGAUGCAUUUAAAACGAUCUACACCAAUCCCACGGCCAACCUCCUCAUACCCAAUACAAACCCACCCACCUUCUCCAUAUACAACGGAACGAGGCAGGGCUGCCCCCUGUCCCCCAUCCUAUUCGCCCUCUCCCUCUAACCCCUAAUGCAUCUCAUUCGCACCACACCAUCGAUUGCAGGCAUCAAAGUACGUACACAAACAUACAAAGCAGCUUAUGCCGAUGACCUUUUACUAUCACUCACAGACCUGCUGCACUCCCUUUCUCCACUCCUCCAACUCAUACAGGAAUAUUUUGAAGUAUCUGGGUACAGGCUGAACCUAGAUAAAACCGAAGCACUCAUGCUAAAUAUAGAAGCACACUACAGAUACAUAAUACAAAACACAUACUCGUUCCGAUACAAUACCUCACACAUCUCAUACCUAGGAAUCGCUCUACCAGCGGAACUACACUACACAUACGCCCUAGCUGGAACACGACCUCUUUGGCUUCGACUUCCCCUCCCUCUACCUCUGGGUACCAAGAAAAUCUCGACCAAUACCACCCCCUACACCUCCAAUGCUAGCGAACUCCAUUACCGUAUGGGACAAACUCACUAAGAAAUUCCCAAUCACCAACGACCCUUCACCACUGGCCCCGAUACUGCACAACAAAGCCUUUCAGCCAGGCAUGAACCCCAAAGACUUUGCACACUAUGAACACAAUGACCUCUACAGGCUCUAUCAUUUCUUUGCAGGAGGGAAACUAAUACAGUACAACGAGCUCCCGCUACCACACCAACAAUACAACACCCAUGAUUUCUUUAGAUACAUACAACUUAGAAGCUUCCUAGAACUCCCAGAAAACACAAAAGCAGCCACCACAAAACUCACACCUUUCGAAAGAACUUGCAUACACAACCCAACCCACAAGGGACAGAUCACAAAUAAUUACAUACUAUUGAUCACUAACCAACCACCGGGAGCACUAGCCUAUGUGGCAGCUUGGGAGAGGGACCUGGGGCCACCAGAUGACCUGAUGGACUGGCAGGACAUAUGGGAGGCCACGACAUCCAUAUGUGUAAACCAUAAAGAACAGGCCCACAAAACAAUGCUGAGACAGUACCUAACACCCACACGGCUAUAUCACAUGGGAAGGGCAGAGUUGGACCUAUGUUGGAAGGGAUGCGGACACAGGAGCACAUAUAUACACCACAUAUAUGACCUCCUCCACACGGACAUUCUCAUAGACCCCUGGAUAUGGUUCCUCUCCAAACCCUGGGGACCCCUGACCAGAGCACAAAACAAACUCACGAACAGACUGGCCCUAGCAACCAGACGGGCAAUAACAGAAUUCUGCACCCCAAACAUACCCACACUAGACAUAGUCAUACGCAAAACCAGGGAGGCCGUGGAAAUGGACAGGCUCUCAGCCAAGAUCCACGAAACAUCACAAAACUUCUAUAAGAUACGGGACCCAUGGUUAAAUGAACCCUCCCUGUCAUAAAUAAACAAACCUCAAAGUAUAACAACCCCGGCACCACUAGAAUGCUAAAUUGGGCUCCACACCCACAAACCUAAGGGACAGGAGACCCUAGCCAUGUGGUCAAAAAGAGACCCCCGGCCCACAGCUGACAGCCCACGAAGGAGCCUAGAUGGGAGACUCACAAGCAGAUACAACACACAAGACCCCCUCCAACAAGCCCCUAUGGCCCGCAAUGGGCAGACCCAAACUGCCCACACAUGAAAGCCGAAACUACAAACUGGAACCCCCACAACACUACCAAGAACUACAACUUAACCCCUGAGACCAAGGAAUUGAACCAUUUGUACCUGUAUUUCUACGAUUGUAUAAUUUUAUAAAUUUUAUUACUUUGUAUAAUUCCAUUACUUUGUAUGAUUUUAUACCUUGUUUUUGAUAAGUUGAUAUACAAUAAGGCAAAACAGGAAGCAGACGUACAGAAAGACAUUGACCAAUAGAACUCCGCACACCUACGUAGGCACACGGAAAAAACAACGGGCAGAGAGCAAGAAACACAACCACUGAAUACAGCACAAAACUUACCAAGACACACCACCAGGUCUGACAGCACAAACUCGACAACAAAGGUCACAGCAGACAACGAUAGAAUCAGUGGAAAUGUAUUAACAUCUGCAUCCGCACUGACUAACUAUGCGCACCCAAUGUAUCUGUAAAAUAUGCCUUUUUCCAAGUGAAACUCAAUAAACACAGAAUGUUUUUAAAAAAAAAAUCAUUGUAUAUAGUAGAUUUAAAAAAAAGAUUUAUAUUGAGAAAAACUUCAUAUCUAAAAAAACACAUUACAAAAAUAAAAUGUAUUGCAUUGUUUUGUGGGGUGGGGGGCAAUUAAAACUACAUAUAGCACAUAAUAAACAGGAAAAGCAGCCUUCCAGCUCCUAGCCCAUCAUCAUUACAUAUCAAGUUCCUUGUGCUCCUCUGUCUACACUCCAGUAAUCCCAUCCCAGAGCUUUGGCUAUAUUGUUUGCACCUACAUUGAUGCUGCUGCUUGAAUUUUUAUGCCCACAAAAAUAUAUAUAUAAAAAAAGGAAACAUGACGUAUAAUAUGCCUCACAUAAUGUUUCAACAAAUUCUGCAAUAACCAACACUUAGGUGUUUGGAAGGGGAGAAUUUGAUAAAAAUAAAAUACACAAACUGAUACAAUGACUUGUCGUUGAGAUAAGCAUCAUGGCUGCUCCCCUAACUGCCAAAAUGGAGGUAAUUCGGGGGGGCGGGGCCUGACUGUCACGGAGGGAAGACGUGCCUAGCUAAAGCUCCACAGAAACCCUUGUAAAAAUGGCUAAAAUGGCACCUCUAAACCACAACAAACAGCAGCACACGACCCCAAGCGAAAUAACAACCCUCUACCCUAAUGGUGAACCCGUGAUGCGGCCCAUGAGGGGACAGCAGACAGCAGACUAUACCCGCAAGGGCAUGCGGCCUGGCGUGCACCGGGCAGGAGAGGCGGCCGAUCCCCCAGCCUGGAGCCACAUGGAAACCAACUGCCACAAGCAGAUGCCCCGCAACCCCCCCCUCUGGACCGGCGGGGGUGAUCCCAGUCCACCCCUAGGGGUCACCCCCAACAGGGCGAAAAUAACUGGGGAGAUGGCUGGAGAGCCGAGCGGCCCACCUAAGAUGGCGGAGACCAGAUGGCCACCAGUCAGCCACGAGACAUUAAGACACCCCUCAUCCAACAUAGAUAAAAUCUUCCAAGAUUUCUGGCUCAAGCUAGAGCUCAGACUACAACAAGGGGCUCCAGGUCCACUCAUCUCAAACUGCCCACCCAGACAGCAGCCACCUAACCCUCGGGACCGGCCUGCAGCCCAGACAGAGCCUCACUCUAUACAGAGGCAGCGGAGGAACAAGCCUGCACCUCGCCCACGUAAGGCAGUGAAGCGACAGAAACCAAGCACUGGCUCACCCAGUUCACUCACCACCCGGAGGGCGACCCAACCUAGGCCCAGCGGCAUUACUAACCGAACCCAGCUACACCCGUUUACCCAACUACAGCUGGGCACUCACCACAUCACAGUGGAGUCCCACGGGAAUCCACAACGAGGCUCUGCACAGCCCCAAUGCGGCAUCGGGUGAACGGCCGGGGACCCAUCAACACCACGGUCCAGGAGCAGGGGGUCCUGACACGUCUCACAACGCCACAUCCUGAUCCUAGGAACAUGAUCCCCCCUACGUCAACUUACCCGGAGAGGGACUCACACCUGGGAAACCCCAGGAGACUUUCGCACACCCAAACGGUUAUAGCGAUAUAUAUUUUGGACAUUACAAGCUAAGGGGUAUACUCACCUUGCAUGUUCAGGAUUGUAUAGCCACACCAUACGAGAGACAUGUUUUAACCUGUUAAAUAAGCAUACCGUACACCCCUCCCGAAACUGCAACACCACAUACCUUAUCAUAACUCUAAGCGUAACUAAUACUCUCAUAAGUCUACCUAGCCUAGCAUUCAUGUCGAAAAGUUAAUUUGUUUAGCGUGCAAUGUGUUUAGUAUGUAAUUUAAGUAAGAAAUGCAACAUGUACUAUUGUCACAGAUGAAUAGAAAAAGCUUGAAUACUAUAAUAUGUUAAGACACAACCUAGUUCCAUCCAACCUUUUAGAAAAAUGUGCACUGUAUUCUCUUAUGCCAUGUUAUGUUCUGCUAUUGAAAGGCUUCCUGCAGCUGUUGUGGCGUAGCAAGCCAGAUUGUUCAAUUCAUGCACAAACAAAAAUCAAGAAUUUAAAAAAAAAAAAAUGGAGGUAAUUCCUGCUAUUUCAAAUGUUUUUUUUUUCUCAGUGUCAGAAAGUAACAUUGUGUCAGAAUGGAAGCAUUUUGAUUGUAUUUGCAGACAUAAAUAAAUAUUUAAAUGAAAU